CAAAUAUCAGGAUAACAGAUACUCUAAKUGAGGCUAGGCAAAGAUGGAUCUGGUUUGCAUGUUAUCUAUUUUUAAAAAGUGUGAUGGCAAAGACACCAGGCUUCAGAAGAUCUGAGAAAAUCAUAUACAAUAAUUAAAAUGAGAGUGUGUAAUGAAUGGUAGCACACAUCUGGUGAAACCAGCAUGGUGGGGAAAGACUAGCCUCUGAAGGUCAGACGGGAUAGAACUAAGACAAUGAGGUAAGAACUUAACAACAUCUUGAAAAAGUGUUUUYCCAAACUCCCUCUGCAGGGGUAA
rnacentral:lncRNA from 1 species